rnacentral:rRNA from 1 species
AUUGAACGCUGGCGGCAGGCCUAACACAUGCAAGCCGAGCGGUAGAGAGAAGCUUGCUUCUCUUGAGAGCGGCGGACGGGUGAGUAAUGCCUAGGAAUCUGCCUGGUAGUGGGGGAUAACGUUCGGAAACGGACGCUAAUACCGCAUACGUCCUACGGGAGAAAGCAGGGGACCUUCGGGCCUUGCGCUAUCAGAUGAGCCUAGGUCGGAUUAGCUAGUUGGUGAGGUAAUGGCUCACCAAGGCGACGAUCCGUAACUGGUCUGAGAGGAUGAUCAGUCACACUGGAACUGAGACACGGUCCAGACUCCUACGGGAGGCAGCAGUGGGGAAUAUUGGACAAUGGGCGAAAGCCUGAUCCAGCCAUGCCGCGUGUGUGAAGAAGGUCUUCGGAUUGUAAAGCACUUUAAGUUGGGAGGAAGGGUUGUAGAUUAAUACUCUGCAAUUUUGACGUUACCGACAGAAUAAGCACCGGCUAACUCUGUGCCAGCAGCCGCGGUAAUACAGAGGGUGCAGGCGUUAAUCGGAAUUACUGGGCGUAAAGCGCGCGUAGGUGGUUUGUUAAGUUGGAUGUGAAAUCCCCGGGCUCAACCUGGGAACUGCAUUCAAAACUGACUGACUAGAGUAUGGUAGAGGGUGGGUGGAAUUUCCUGUGUAGCGGUGAAAUGCGUAGAUAUAGGAAAGGAACACCAGUGGCGAACGCGACCACCUGGACUAAUACUGACACUGAGGUGCGAAAGCGUGGGGAGCAACAGGAUUAGAUACCCUGGUAGUCCACGCCGUAAACGAUGUCAACUAGCCGUUGGAAGCCUUGAGCUUUUAGUGGCGCAGCUAACGCAUUAAGUUGACCGCCUGGGGAGUACGGCCGCAAGGUUAAAACUCAAAUGAAUUGACGGGGGCCCGCACAAGCGGUGGAGCAUGUGGUUUAAUUCGAAGCAACGCGAAGAACCUUACCAGGCCUUGACAUCCAAUGAACUUUCUAGAGAUAGAUUGGUGCCUUCGGGAACAUUGAGACAGGUGCUGCAUGGCUGUCGUCAGCUCGUGUCGUGAGAUGUUGGGUUAAGUCCCGUAACGAGCGCAACCCUUGUCCUUAGUUACCAGCACGUUAUGGUGGGCACUCUAAGGAGACUGCCGGUGACAAACCGGAGGAAGGUGGGGAUGACGUCAAGUCAUCAUGGCCCUUACGGCCUGGGCUACACACGUGCUACAAUGGUCGGUACAGAGGGUUGCCAAGCCGCGAGGUGGAGCUAAUCCCAUAAAACCGAUCGUAGUCCGGAUCGCAGUCUGCAACUCGACUGCGUGAAGUCGGAAUCGCUAGUAAUCGCGAAUCAGAAUGUCGCGGUGAAUACGUUCCCGGGCCUUGUACACACCGCCCGUCACACCAUGGGAGUGGGUUGCACCAGAAGUAGCUAGUCUAACCUUCGGGAGGACGGUUACCACGGUGUGAUUCAUGACUGGGGUG